rnacentral:rRNA from 1 species
AUCUAUACAUGCAGUCGAGCGGACAGAAGGGAGCUUGCUCCCGGAUGUUAGCGGCGGACGGGUGAGUAACACGUGGGUAACCUGCCUGUAAGACUGGGAUAACUCCGGGAAACCGGAGCUAAUACCGGAUAGUUCCUUGAACCGCAUGGUUCAAGGAUGAAAGACGGUUUCGGCUGUCACUUACAGAUGGACCCGCGGCGCAUUAGCUAGUUGGUGAGGUAACGGCUCACCAAGGCGACGAUGCGUAGCCGACCUGAGAGGGUGAUCGGCCACACUGGGACUGAGACACGGCCCAGACUCCUACGGGAGGCAGCAGUAGGGAAUCUUCCGCAAUGG